UACAGAGGUCCCAAGCGUUGUUCGGAUUCAUUGGGCGUAAAGGGUGUGUAGGUGGCGCCGUAAGUCGGGUGUGAAAUCUCGGGGCUUAACUCCGAAACUGCAUUCGACACUGCGGUGCUUGAGGACUGGAGAGGAGACUGGAAUUCAUGGUGUAGCAGUGAAAUGCGUAGAGAUCAUGAGGAAGACCGGUGGCGAAGGCGGGUCUCUGGGCCGAAACUGACGCUGAGGAGCGAAAGCGUGGGGAGCAAACAGG
rnacentral:rRNA from 1 species